GCCUUCGUGGUGUAGUGGUCAGCACAUUCGACAUGUGUUCCAGAGGUCCGUGGUUCGAAUCCCGGCGAUUGCA
rnacentral:tRNA from 1 species